rnacentral:misc_RNA from 1 species
GAUGAAGAACGUAGCGAAAUGCGAUACGUAAUGUGAAUUGCAGAAUUCAGUGAAUCAUCGAAUCUUUGAACGCAUAUUGCGCUCUCUGGUAUUCCGGAGAGCAUGCUUGUUUGAGUAUCAGUAAACACCUCAACUCCCCUUUCUUUUUUGAAAUUGGAGCUGGACUUGAGUGAUCCCAACGCUUUCUUCCAAGAAAGUGGCGGGUUGCUUGAAAUGCAGGUGCAGCUGAACUUUUCUCUGAGCUAUAAGCAUAUCUAUUUAGUCUGCCUAAAAAACAGAUUAUUACCUUUGCUGCAGCUAACAUAAAGGAGACUAGUUCUUGUGCUGACUGAUGCAGGAUUCACAGAGACAGCUUCGGCUGACUUUGUAAACUCGAUCUCAAAUCAAGUAAGACUACCCGCUGAACUUAAGCAUAUCAAUAAGCGGAGGA